rnacentral:rRNA from 1 species
GACGAACGCUGGCGGCAUGCCUAAUACAUGCAAGUCGAGCGAACAGAUGAAGUGCUUGCACUUCUGACGUUAGCGGCGAACGGGUGAGUAACACGUAAGGAAUCUACCUAUAAGCGGGGGAUAACAUUCGGAAACGGGUGCUAAUACCGCAUAAUAUCUUCUUCCGCAUGGAAGAAGAUUGAAAGACGGCUCUGCUGUCACUUAUAGAUGACCUUGCGGUGCAUUAGUUAGUUGGUGGGGUAACGGCCUACCAAGACGAUGAUGCAUAGCCGACCUGAGAGGGUGAUCGGCCACAUUGGGACUGAGACACGGCCCAAACUCCUACGGGGGGCAGCAGUCGGGAAUCUUCCGCAAUGGGCGAAAGCCUGACGGAGCAAUGCCGCGUGAGUGAAGAAGGCCUUCGGGUCGUAAAACUCUGUUAUAAGAGAAGAACAAAUUGUAGAGUAACUGCUACAGUCUUGACGGUAUCUUAUCAGAAAGCCACGGCUAACUACGUGCCAGCCGCCGCCGUAA